rnacentral:rRNA from 1 species
UGGGUAACCUGCCCAUAAGACUGGGAUAUCUCCGGGAAACCGGGGCUAAUACCGGAUAACAUUUUGAACUGCAUGGUUCGAAAUUGAAAGGCGGCUUCGGCUGUCACUUAUGGAUGGACCCGCGUCGCAUUAGCUAGUUGGUGAGGUAACGGCUCACCAAGGCAACGAUGCGUAGCCGACCUGAGAGGGUGAUCGGCCACACUGGGACUGAGACACGGCCCAGACUCCUACGGGAGGCAGCAGUAGGGAAUCUUCCGCAAUGGACGAAAGUCUGACGGAGCAACGCCGCGUGAGUGAUGAAGGCUUUCGGGUCGUAAAACUCUGUUGUUAGGGAAGAACAAGUGCUAGUUGAAUAAGCUGGCACCUUGACGGUACCUAACCAGAAAGCCCCGGCUAACUACGUGCCAGCAGCCGCGGUAAUACGUAGGUGGCAAGCGUUAUCCGGGAAAUUAUUGGGCGUAAAGCGCGCGCAGGUGGUUUCUUAUGUCUGAUGUGAAAGCCCACGGCUCAACCGUGGAGGGUCAUUGGAAACUGGGAGACUUGAGUGCAGAAAAAGGAAAAGUGGAAUUCCAUGUGUAGCGGUGAAAUGCGUAGAGAUAUGGAAGGAACACCCAGUGGGCGAAGGCCUACUUUCUGGGUCUGUUAAC